AUACGGAGGGUGCGAGCAUUAAUCGGAUUUAUUGGGCGUAAAGAGCGCGUAGGUGGGCUAGUAAGUCAGACGUGAAAGCCCGGAGCUCAACUCUGGAGUGCUUUUGAAACUGAUCGGCUUAGAGGAUAGGCGGAGAAAACGGAAUUCCACAUGUAGCGGUGGAAUGCGUAGAUAUGUGGAAGAACACCGGUGGCGAAGGCGGUUUUCUAGCCUAUGCCUGACGCUGAGGCGCGAAAGUCAGGGGAGCAAACAGGAUUAGAUACCCGAGUAGUCC
rnacentral:rRNA from 1 species